rnacentral:lncRNA from 1 species
UUCACCCUCAGGUUCAGAAAAGUUUGGCCCUGCGGUCCGAGGGUUUUCAUGUUUCCACUCUGUUUGCAGGUCACUGGUGGUGGUUUGUGUGUGCAGCAGGAUGUUUCUUAAUACUCCUGAUAAUCGUUGUGAUGCUCGUCAGAUGUAAGAAACCAAAAGGUGAGCACACUCUCACAUGAAGCUUUAUGAAGCAGCAGGGUUAAAUAAAUCAGGCUUUUCACUCUGGAACCUAAACUCACCUUUUCUGUCUUUUCAGGGAGCAAAGCUCAGAUGGACAUGAACACAGGACUGAGCUUUAGCACAGCAGGGACUCAGACUACUCCAGAAACCAGUCAGGACAUGGCUGAUCCUGAGGAUGGAGUUUCCUACGCCUCCGUCAGCUACACCAGGAAGCCCGACAUUAAAGCCCGGGUAAGAUCUCUGCUUGGUUAUAGUUCUGUUGUUAACAUUCAUUUUAAAUCCCUUGUCUGAGUGCAAGAUGUUGGAGACCCUGGUCCAGAUCAAAACAUUUCAAAGGUUUUUGGAAAAUGUAGAAACACUGAAUCUGCUUGAUGCAGAAUUUAAGUCUAAUUUUCUCAUUUGCAUGUUGAUGCU